rnacentral:tRNA from 1 species
GGGCCCGUAGCUUAGCCUGGUAGAGCACCGGGCUCUUAACCCGGGGGUCGCGGGUUCAAAUCCCGCCGGGCCCG